UACGUAGGGGGCGAGCGUUGUCCGGAUUUAUUGGGCGUAAAGAGCUCGUAGGCGGCUGUUCAAGUCGAACGUGAAAACUCGGAGCUCAACUCCGAGCCUGCGUUCGAUACUGGACGGCUAGAGUCUGGUAGGGGGACCUGGAAUUCCUGGUGUAGCGGUGGAAUGCGCAGAUAUCAGGAGGAACACCGGUGGCGAAGGCGGGGUCCUGGGCCAGUACUGACGCUGAGGAGCGAAAGCGUGGGGAGCAAACAGG
rnacentral:rRNA from 1 species